AGAGAACCGUAACACAGGUGCUGCAUGGCUGUCGUCAGCUCGUGUCGUGAGAUGUUGGGUUAAGUCCCGCAACGAGCGCAACCCUUGUCCUUAGUUGCUACGCAAGAGCACUCUAAGGAGACUGCCGGUGACAAACCGGAGGAAGGUGGGGAUGACGUCAAGUCCUCAUGGCCCUUAUGGGUAGGGCUUCACACGUCAUACAAUGGUCGGUACAGAGGGCUGCCAAACCGCGAGGUGGAGCUAACCCCAGAAAACCGAUCGUAGUCCGGAUCGCAGUCUGCAACUCGACUGCGUGAAGCUGGAAUCGCUAGUAAUCGCGGAUCAGCAUGUCGCGGUGAAUACGUUCCCGGGUCUUGUACACACCGCCCGUCACACCAUGGGAGUGGGUUUUGCCAGAAGUAGGUAGCCUAACCGUAAGGAGGGCGCUUACCACGGCAGGAUUCAUGACUGGGGUGAAGUCGUAACAAGGUAGCCGUAGGGGAACCUGCGGCUGGAUCACCUCCUUU
rnacentral:rRNA from 2 species